rnacentral:rRNA from 1 species
UACAGAGGUCUCAAGCGUUGUUCGGAAUUACUGGGCGUAAAGGGCGCGUAGGCGGCCUGUUAAGUCGAACGUGAAAUCCCCCGGGCUCAACCCUGGAAUUGCCUUCGAUACUGAGAGUCUUGAGUUCGGAAGAGGUUGGUGGAACUGCGAGUGUAGAGGUGAAAUUCGUAGAUAUUCGCAAGAACACCAGUGGCGAAGGCGGCCAACUGGUCCGAUACUGACGCUGAGGCGCGAAAGCGUGGGGAGCAAACAGG